AGGAAAAGCUGUCUUGAUAACUUGUUUUAGAAUGAAGGAGUAGAUAUCAGACACUGACUUGAGACACCAAGGCUGAUGAGCCCAGUGGAUCAAACGGAUGAACAGUUGCUAAACUUUGCUUGUAUCUUGCUUGGCAUCUAUCUCUUCCUGUCCUGCAGCAGCAGCACCCUGGUCCCUGUUAUUAUAAACUGCUCAGGCUAGUUUCCAGUUUUGUUUGGUUUUGGUUUUGGUUUUGGUUUUGCGGUUGCUUUGUCUUGUUUCGUUCGUGACUACUGUCACCCCAGCAAGUUCUGUUUUCUUGGUGAACCCUGAAACAGGCACCCAGGAAAAAAAAAUGUAAAGUCUGUUUGAAGGGACACCAGCUUUCAUCAUGAUCUCUGGAAGAGCUGGAAGGCUCUCCAAGUGGACUGAAGAUCACCCCGGAGGCUAGCGAUGGAGCUCAGGCUUUCCACUCAACAACUCCGUACAUGCCACGGUUCCUGGAGUGGUGCAAAGAGGAAAGAAAUGCAGAAACCAGCAGAAGGAAACAGGAAGUGAUGGGCUGAGCUCCCAGCCACCGUGUGAGAAAGGACAAGGCUCAAAAGCAACAGGGCCAAGCAUCCAUGGAGCCAAAAUAAAGUUAAUUCUCAAAAGCUGACUUCCUACAGUAGUCCGUCAGAAGGACCGGAAGUUGCUAACACAACCUCCACUGAGAGUCGUUGUGUGCUGUUUCUGUUCCCACCCAUCACUGGUUUUACCCAGUCCCACUCAACUCACAAAGUUCCAGUGAGAUGAGACUUACCAACACGUGAUAAAGAUGUCAGCUGAUGAGAGCACGCACACAUGGGGACCAUCCUCAUUUCCUCAUCGUCUCUUGUGUAAGGGCAACUGCUCCUUUCGGUGGUGUCAGUUUUGUAAGUCAGUUUGACAGAAAGAGUGCGAUGAAGACAGGCCUCGGAUAUAGACAACCAAAGAAGAGGAGAACAGCAGCUAAUAUUGAGACCCCUGGCUGACAGCAGUUAGGACAGUGUGCUAAGUGCAGGUUCCUCCAACAGCCACCACCUCCACCCAGCGGUCGUCCAGACAGCUUGAAGAGGAAAGGACUAUUCCUCCAGGCGUAAUUUCAACCCACUCUUCUCUUCCUUUUGCUAAAAGGAUGUCAGCAGGAAGCUGGGAGAAAAACGGUUUGUGCAGUAAGCAGAUGGGCCCAUGGAAAAGAGAUCAGGUCUCUUCAACUUUUCCCUUUCAGUAUUGGUUUAGUCUCCCAACUGCCAAGAUCUUUAUUGGGGGAAGUAGAUGACUGCUACUCUAGGCUUUUUGUGCAAGAAGAGAGUAGAGGAAGUCAUAGUCCACAGAGGUCUCUGGGGAGACUGCAUUUCUUUAGCACCUAUCAUGGUUGAAUAUCUUUCUUAUUAUGAAGUUUUAGAAGGCUUUCCUUGAUAGAAAAAGUUAAAUAUCCUUACAUGUACAGGGUCCUACAUGGUUUAUAAACCCCGCAUCUUAGUCUGCUUUUUGUAGAAACAGUAGAGUUGCUGAGAUCAGCUGACUUUCAAAGAGAAUAGAUUUACUUAACACUGUGUUUCUAUAAUGGAUAUUAGAAGUCCAAGAGUAAGGAUCCAUCUAACCAGCUCUUUUUGGGGUAAUGUUUCAGCUCCAUGGCAAAAAAAAAAAAAAAACAAAACAAAACAAAAAAAACAACAAAGCAAAACAAACACAAAGCCCAGAAAGGAAUGUGGUCACUCGGAGAAGACUAAGAAGAAUAUGGUGGGGUCGGGCCCUCAUGAGUGAGAACUUACAUGAAUCUAGCGAUAGGGGCCCAAUCCCUGGAACAUCCCACACUUGGCUCCAUCUCCCAAUGCUGCCCUUUUGAGGAAUUAAAGUCCUAACACUUGAACCUGGGGGAGCACAUUCAAAUCCAUCUCACUCCUGUGAAUGCUGGCUAUGAGACUUGCUUAGCCUCUUAGAUGCUCUUGUGUGGUGUAGAUGAUUAACUUCCUUUGGCUCCCAGAUAGCCGUCACACUAUGCAGAACGGUUACUACAAGACUUAACAGCGUUUCCUAAACACAUUCCUCAGCUAGUAACUAUUAAUCCGCAACUUCUCAAGGCUAUGUGUUCGUUCAUCUCACUCCUUCCCAGCAGAACUGAGGAAGUGUCACCGAAGACGUAUCUUAAAUGCCAUAAUUGCUUUAGCUGUGAACUUAACUCGCCCGAGUCAAGGCUUGCUUGGGUUGAGGAGAGCCUCUCAUCAAAGAUGUGGGAAUGCACCGCUGAAGAGAAUCCUCUGGAACAGGGUUAAAGCCAGGGCGAGAGCUGGCAGGUCCUGAGAUGCAAGGACACCCUGCCCUACAUUCCCAUUUUUGCGAAGAGGGGCUUUUGCUGUCCACAGAGAGCAUUUGCCAUUUCACUGACACCUAUGGCUUCUUUCUAAGGCUCCAGAGUGUUGUUAAGGUCCCCGGCACAUCAAACUAAACCAUUUGACGGUUUAGAUAGCGCCUGCAGAUAUCUUUGUUAUCAUGACCUUCACAUUCUCAGUGUGGUCAGGACCAGAGAUAAGUCCACUUCAAACUCAGACUGCACAGGAAACAGCAAAGGAGAACUGGUUAUCUCCUGAUUUUUCCUUACUUUUUCUUGUCCCUGACAAAGAGUCCUUCCCUUGAUUUGCUUUUGCCCCGGAUUUACUUCGAUUUAUGACUUUUCUCUCCCCGGAAUCCAGGAGGGAGAACCAAAAGGAGGGGGUGGGCAUCUAGGGAGGUCACACAGUCCCCCUCAUCACUGUUUGAGGUUCCCAGGUCCCAGAGGUGAGGUGAUCUCGCUCUGUCUGGCAGCAAUGAGAAUUCUUGAUGUGAGGGAAGAAAGAAACAUGUAGGACUCACUGAAGCCAUUGGUUUAAUUUUCAAUUAAUACAGACUUUGUACUUUCCAAAGUUUAGGUAGGUGACUUGACUUCACCCACAAAAGAUCUCCAGUUUCCCCUAAGCAAGGUAUCAUAAAAGAAAAUUCCCAAAAGGUAUGCAUUUAUAUUGCAUAAAUAUAGAUUGGUGUAUAUAUAGUUGACAGAUAACAAUGAAUCUCAAAUCUGUUACAACCUACACUGGCCACACAUAGUUCUCCCGCCACAUUUUUAAACUCCCUUUUAAAAUGCUCAUAUGACACGGCAACCUAGCACAGUGUCUCAAAGCCUGAGACAUAUGCUAGAAGAAAUUACUCGUCUGAAAUAAAUGCAAUAUAAUGAGUGCUGUGGCAACAACUUGAUUUCUCGCUUUGCUUUCUAAAUGACAAAAUUGUGUUUAACAGGCAAAUAGAUGAAAAUAACUCUGUAAUAAAUAAUGACAUAAUUAUAUAGCAGGAUAACUUUCAAAUUCGCUUCUUAUUGUCUCUCUUACCAAUGCCUCCCUAAUAAUAUAUAACACCACUAAGUGCUUCCUCUGCAAGGUACAGAUCGCAGCAGCUUUCCACCUGUUAAUUCAUUUAAUCCUUAAUCCUUUUAUGAAAUGACUGCUGUUUUGAUCCUUGGUGUACAAGGAAGGGAACAGAGGCACAGCGAAAUUUAAUAACUUCUGCCAAAGCCAUGACUGAUCCUGAUCAGUGGCAAGCCCAACAUUCUAAGUGAGGUCUCCUAGCUUCAUGUUUCCCUACUACCUUGAGGUUUCCCUACAACUCUCACCAAGAUAUCUCUCUCUCUCUCUCUCUCUCUCUCUCUCUCUCUCUCUCUCUCUCUCUCUCUCUCGUAUUUAGUUUUAUGUGCAUUGGGUUUUGCCUACAUGCAUGUCCGUGGGAGGGUGUCAGAUUCCAGAGUUAAACACAGUUGGGAGCAGCCAUAUGGGUGCAGAGAAUUGAACCGAGUCCUCUGGAAGAGCAGCCAGUGCUCAGAACUACCCAGGCAUCUUUCUAUCCCCUCAAACAUUUGCCUCUUCUUCCUGGAGUUGUCUCCCUACCUCCAACCUCACUAUCCUCCCCACUGCAUAGCCGUGAAGGCAUUCAGCUGUGUGCACAACUAUUUGUAUUGUCAUCACUCUCUGAAUUCCAUCAAAAAAUACUUCUUUGCCUAGGGAACCAAGUUUCAUCCUGCAGAGGGCAGAUCCCAGUAUGCUUCAUAGUCUCAUUUAAAAUGUUCUUUCUGGGCUGGAGAGAUGGCUCAGCAGUUAAGAGUGCUGGCUGCUCUUCCAGAAGACCUGGUUUCAAUCCCAGCACCUACAUAGCAGGUCCCAACUGUUUGUAACUGCAAUAUCUGGAGAACCGAUGCCCUAUUCUGGCUUCUUGGAGCACUGCAUAUAUGUGAUGCAGAUAGACACUCACACAAAAUACACAUAAAUAAAAAUAAAUAAAUCUUUUAUAAAUAUACAAAAUAAAUUAUUUUUUCAAACCCCCCCCCAUCUACAAAUUUUCUCUGUAUUUUCUGAUCAUGAUUUUGGGUAGUAUCCAAUUUUUGUUGCUAUUUAGAAUACACGUUUUGCAAUUCAAAACUCAGGAAGCAAUUUCAACCUUAUAACAAAUAAUUUCAACCUUAUAACAAUAAUUUCCCUCUAAGAUCCUACCAUUCCACCUUUUAGUAUGACUUUGUGUGUCUCUUGACAUUGUAGCUCCUAACAACUAAAAUGAACAUGGCAUGAAGUCCUUACAAUUCAACCUUUUCCUUGUAGAGUAUUUUAUGUACAGUAGGAGCUCACCAGAUGUUUGCUAAACUGAGUUGAAAUAUGCUAGACGUUGUAUUUGGCUGAGACUAUCACGUCUUCUUCCACCCACAGGGAAGAAUGGGAGGAGUUUUCCUAGGACGUGUGAGAAAGAACGCACCCAAGGGUUGGGAAGACCAUGACUCAAAAUAUAAGGUCACCAGGUUAUCACCUGCAGUCACAUAUUUCUCUAAAUGAAUUCCAGUGAUAACGUCCACAGACAACAGGCUGCCACGGAGACCCACCGUCUCUUCAGUUGCCUCCCAGCUGACUUGGAGCAGACUGCCAGAGAAAUAGCAUAAAGUUGAAGUAGCCAUGAUCACAGUGUUUGGCAAUUUGCUCUUAGACACACACACAAAAAAAGGCUGAACAUUCAUUCUGUGUUUUGCAUUGUUUUGUUUUUGUUAUUUUUUAAGAUCCUGACUUUUGGGGUUGGGGAUUUGGCUCAGUGGCAAAGCGCUUGCCUAGGAAGCGCAAGGCCCUGGGUUCGGUCCCCAGCCCCGAAAAAAAGAACCAAAAAAAAAAAAAGAAAGAAAAAAAAGAAAAAGAUCCUGACUUUCGUUUUCCCAAUCUGUCUUCAUAACAAUCCUAUUAACUUUGCAGUAUAGUUCGAGUGUAUUUAGUGUCUGUAUGCACAUGGGUGUGAAAACCCAAGGCCAACAUGGAGGGUCUUUAACCAUUCUCCACUCUUUUUUUCUUUUGAAACAGUCUUUUAGUGAACCCAGGGCUCACUGAUUUGACUAUACUGGCUGUCCAGCAAAAUCCAGGGAAUCCUCCUGUCUCUGCACCCUUCCUCCCUCCAACUACAAAUGUUGGGAUUAGCAAAGGCCGGCUUUUAGGUGAAAGGAGAGGAUUCGAACUCACAUCCUUAAACUUACGAGGCAGCACUUUUCCUGAGCUGUCUCUCCACACCCUCAAAUUAUAUAGCUGUACAUUUUAUGAAACCCCAUUUGACAGGAGAGAAGACUCGGGUGUGGACACAUCAGCCACAUGGCCGCUGAGGAACUGAGUCAGUGCAUGUGGUGUGCAGGUCUAAGCCAGAACACCAUCCUGACAGGGCGACCCAGAAGACGGGUGAGAAGAGACAAUGUAGCAUUCAAGAAGCAACAGAUCCAGGAAUACAUUUCCUUAUUGGUAGAGUCUGUCCAUCUGGGGUUUGUUGUUUGAGUGUUGGGUUUCGGUUUGGUUUGGUUUCGGUGUUGUUGUUGGUGGUGGUGGUGGUGGUGUUUUAAAGUAGGAUAAGGUGGGGAAAGGAAGGAGAAAAAAAGAAAGAUCUACAGAUUUGGAAAACAGUUUGAUCUAGAGAGGCUCUUCUGAAUUUCUGUUUUCUUUCUGGAUUAUCAGUCGCAGACCUAGCUGUACCCUCUGAGCCACUGGUUAGCAGGUGCCGUGGCGAUUUACAGAUUUUGUUAAUCAUUGUCCCUUCGGCGAGCACAUUUUUUUUUCAACCUGUUUGAAAAUUAGUCAAGUAGGGCAGUGAGAAAGUCGACGGAGCCAGUUUGAUGGGAGAGCAGAGAGCUCAGACGCUGUGCUGACGCCAGUGCUUAGGGAGUGGAGACCCUUCUAAUACUCUAGGAGAAAAAGGACUCCUGGAGGAUGCCCCUGCCCUCAGAAAAGCAUUCCACAAGGUUUACCGUAAGAAAAAAUCCAAGACUCAAAUGCUUCCCUACCAAUAAGUCAGCCCAGACAGAUGAACCUAUGUAAAACAAUCAAUUAAGAGGAUAUCAUAAACAGAAGUAAGUGAAGAGGACAUUGUGGUGGCUUAUUUCCUCUUAUUGAAACCUUCUCCAGCCUCUCUAGGCUAAUUACCAUCAAACCGGACUAAAUCCGACAUGGCAGUGACCACGCCCAGCUAGAGAGCCCUAUUUCUCAUUGUUUGGUUAGACUGCAAAUGUCUUUGUAAUCUUUUUAAUCUGAAAGAUUUUUUUUUUUUUAAACCAGGAGGUUUAAAACUCUCUUGGCCUUCUGGGCAACAGAGGUUUUGUGGUUUGUUUUUUUUCUUUUUUUUUUUUUUUGUUGUUUUUUUUCAAAUUUGGUUGUUAUGCUGUUGUUUGAUUUUAUUUGGGGGGGAAGUUGUAGGGGGAUGAAGGGUGGAGUGUGUUUGCGUGAUGCGUAGUUGUUCCUUAAAUUAAAUGAGAUGAUACUAUGACCCACUGUCUCUGUCACGCUCCCUCCUCCUUUGUCCUUCCCUCCCUCCUCUAUUUCUUGUGACUCCUCUGAGACUGGGAAGUCUGGAGGGAUUCAGGCAUAUGGGAGACGAAGGAGAAAAUUUUAACGUUUUUAGAAAAAAACAAAACAAAACCAUGAUGGUGUGGAACUUUUCAGGCAAACAAAUACUUGUUUCUGAAUCCUGAACAAAAUAAAGAGACGAGGAGAUAUGCAUCUGCAUGCACAGAGCUGGGUGAUAAAGGCAGAAGGGAGGCGCUAGAAAAAUAUUCCAAGGCGGCACUGUUAUUUGUGUUACUUCUAGGCCAAAAGGUGAAGGUUCUCCUGAGGGGAGGAGGGUUGUUUUCCCCAGGACCGAGUGGGACAAAGGAGAAGGAAGGCAGAUUUUUGUUUGUGGUGACUGUCAGUUUCUGUGAGAAAUUAUCCACUCCAGUAAGUUUUGUUAUUUUGGCAGUUUUAUUCUCAGAACUGACGGUGCCCUUUAC